rnacentral:tRNA from 1 species
GAGGGUAUGGCUCAGUGGUGCAGCACAUGCUUAGCAUGCAUGAGGACCUGGGUUCAAUCCCUGGUAUCUCCA